rnacentral:rRNA from 1 species
GACGAACGCUGGCGGCGUGCCUAAUACAUGCAAGUAGAACGCUGAAGAGAGGAGCUUGCUCUUCUUGGAUGAGUUGCGAACGGGUGAGUAACGCGUAGGUAACCUGCCUUGUAGCGGGGGAUAACUAUUGGAAACGAUAGCUAAUACCGCAUAACAAUGGAUGACACAUGUCAUUUAUUUGAAAGGGGCAAUUGCUCCACUACAAGAUGGACCUGCGUUGUAUUAGCUAGUAGGUGAGGUAAUGGCUCACCUAGGCGACGAUACAUAGCCGACCUGAGAGGGUGAUCGGCCACACUGGGACUGAGACACGGCCCAGACUCCUACGGGAGGCAGCAGUAGGGAAUCUUCGGCAAUGGGGGCAACCCUGACCGAGCAACGCCGCGUGAGUGAAGAAGGUUUUCGGAUCGUAAAGCUCUGUUGUAAGUCAAGAACGGGUGUGAGAGUGGAAAGUUCACACUGUGACGGUAGCUUACCAGAAAGGGGCGGCUAACUACGUGCCAGCAGCCGCGGUAAUACGUAGGUCCCGAGCGUUGUCCGGAUUUAUUGGGCGUAAAGCGAGCGCAGGCGGUUUGAUAAGUCUGAAGUUAAAGGCUGUGGCUCAACCAUAGUUCGCUUUGGAAACUGUCAAACUUGAGUGCAGAAGGGGAGAGUGGAAUUCCAUGUGUAGCGGUGAAAUGCGUAGAUAUAUGGAGGAACACCGGUGGCGAAAGCGGCUCUCUGGUCUGUAACUGACGCUGAGGCUCGAAAGCGUGGGGAGCGAACAGGAUUAGAUACCCUGGUAGUCCACGCCGUAAACGAUGAGUGCUAGGUGUUGGAUCCUUUCCGGGAUUCAGUGCCGCAGCUAACGCAUUAAGCACUCCGCCUGGGGAGUACGACCGCAAGGUUGAAACUCAAAGGAAUUGACGGGGGCCCGCACAAGCGGUGGAGCAUGUGGUUUAAUUCGAAGCAACGCGAAGAACCUUACCAGGUCUUGACAUCCCGAUGCUAUUUCUAGAGAUAGAAAGUUACUUCGGUACAUCGGUGACAGGUGGUGCAUGGUUGUCGUCAGCUCGUGUCGUGAGAUGUUGGGUUAAGUCCCGCAACGAGCGCAACCCCUAUUGUUAGUUGCCAUCAUUCAGUUGGGCACUCUAGCGAGACUGCCGGUAAUAAACCGGAGGAAGGUGGGGAUGACGUCAAAUCAUCAUGCCCCUUAUGACCUGGGCUACACACGUGCUACAAUGGUUGGUACAACGAGUUGCGAGUCGGUGACGGCGAGCUAAUCUCUUAAAGCCAAUCUCAGUUCGGAUUGUAGGCUGCAACUCGCCUACAUGAAGUCGGAAUCGCUAGUAAUCGCGGAUCAGCACGCCGCGGUGAAUACGUUCCCGGGCCU